AUAAUAAUGGCAGUACAUAUUCUAAAACUGGAACGAUACAGGGAAGAUUAGCAUGGCCCCUGCGCAAGGACGAUACGCAAAUUCGGGAAGCGUUCUAUAUUUUU
rfam:Octopus bimaculoides Scaffold220691_contig_6, whole genome shotgun sequence.